rnacentral:rRNA from 1 species
UACGGGGGGGCAAGCGUUGUUCGGAAUUACUGGGCGUAAAGGGCUCGUAGGUGGCCAACUAAGUCAGACGUGAAAUCCCUCGGCUUAACCGGGAACUGCGUCUGAUACUGGAUGGCUUGAGUGUGGGAGAGGGAUGCGGAAUUCCAGGUGUAGCGGUGAAAUGCGUAGAUAUCUGGAGGAACACCGGUGGCGAAGGCGGCAUCCUGGACCAUUACUGACACUGAAUAGCGAAAGCCAGGGGAGCAAACGGG